UACGUAGGGGGCGAACGUUGUCCGGAUUUACUGGGUGUAAAGGGUGCUCAGGCGGUCUUGUAAGUCAGAGGUGAAAUCUCAAGGCUUACGCUUGAAACUGCCUUUGAUACUGCUGGGCUUGAGUACGGAAGAGGCGGAUGGAAUUCCUGGUGUAGCAGUGAAAUGCGUAGAUAUCAGGAGGAACACCGGUGGCGAAGGCGGUCCGCUGGGCCGUUACUGACGCUAAAGCACGAAAGCGUGGGGAGCAAACAGG
rnacentral:rRNA from 1 species